GUGGCCCCAAUCAGGCGAGCCCACCCGCCGA
rnacentral:rRNA from 1 species